rnacentral:rRNA from 1 species
GAUGAACGCUGGCGGCGUGCCUAAUACAUGCAAGUCGAGCGAACAGACGAGGAGCUUGCUCCUUUGACGUUAGCGGCGGACGGGUGAGUAACACGUGGAUAACCUACCUAUAAGACUGGGAUAACUUCGGGAAACCGGAGCUAAUACCGGAUAACAUGUUGAACCGCAUGGUUCAACAGUGAAAGACGGUCUUGCUGUCACUUAUAGAUGGAUCCGCGCCGCAUUAGCUAGUUGGUAAGGUAACGGCUUACCAAGGCAACGAUGCGUAGCCGACCUGAGAGGGUGAUCAGCCACACUGGAACUGAGACACGGUCCAGACUCCUACGGGAGGCAGCAGUAGGGAAUCUUCCGCAAUGGGCGAAAGCCUGACGGAGCAACGCCGCGUGAGUGAAGAAGGUCUUCGGAUCGUAAAACUCUGUUAUUAGGGAAGAACAAAUGUGUAAGUAACUAUGCACGUCUUGACGGUACCUAAUCAGAAAGCCACGGCUAACUACGUG